rnacentral:lncRNA from 1 species
UUUCAUAAAAGAUAUGGCAAGGUAAGGUCAAGAAUGGACAUGUGUACACAAACCCUAGGCAAAAUAAUUUUCCAGCCAAGCACAAUUUAUGAAAAAAAUAAUCAAAAUAACUAGAGAGAAAAUUUGACACAAUGCAAAAAUCCUCAUAUUUUUUGGAGCAUUAUUUAAUCAGAUAUGAACUUUGGAAGUGAGAAAAAAAAUAAAAAAACAUGAAGUAAGCAUAUGGAAAUGGCAUGUGAGUAUAUGAAGGAAAUAUGAAAUGCAUGUGAGGAAUUGUUGCCAGCCGGUAUCGAACACCAGCCAAAUUUGAAAUGAGCGCGCUACACAUCAAAAC